UACCACUGCACUCCAGCCUGGGUGACAGAGAUCAGUCUCAAAAAAAUAUUUUAAAAAUCUAGGUCAAGCUCCUGAGUCUGCAAAGUAGAGGACCAGACCUGGGUGCGGGGGAAUUUAUAUUCUAAGGCUAUUAGCGUGAAGCAGGCAGGACCUGUAUUUAUUAUUCUUUAUAUUAAAGUGUCUGAUCCAUAGUAGACAUUUGACUGAAUGAAUUCAUUCAGUAUCUGAAUGAAUGAAAAUUCUCCUUUCUCAAGCUUCUUAGAAAUCACUCUGCUGACUCUCCUGGUGAUAUCAAUCACAUCACACAGAGUUUCCUUUUUACUUCUUGAGAAAUUACUGCUGCCUGAAGCCAUCAUGAGCAUUUAUUCAUCUGCAUAUUGCCUACCUCCCCAAAUUGAAUGUAUGCUCCGUGGUUGUGGAGAGCAAGUCUAUCUGGAAUCCUUAGAGCUCCUUGGUGUCUAGAACAGCACCUGGCAUUCAAGAAAUGCUUAUCCAGUGAGUAACUAUGCUCAAGUGAACAUCUCCCUCCCAAUCCAUUCCUCCUCUACUUCCAUUCAAGCAGUUCAGUUCAGGGCCCUGACUUGAGCAUAUGAUCUUUCCUUUUCAGAACAUCAAAUCUAAUUCAGCACCUAUUUUAACAUAUUUGAAAAUAACAUUUUUAACAGGUGACAAUACAUCAGGCAGCUGAAGAAAACCUACCUACAUAUCUUAAAUCUUUUUACUUACUGGUACCAAUGCACUUCGCAUGAGUAUGUAUCACAUUAUUAAUAAACUGAAAUGUCAUUGUUACAUAAAACCUCUUUGUGCUGCAUCCAGAACUUCAGUGACAGUUUGGGUGAAAUGACAUAAUACAUAUAUCGUAUCCAGUGAUCGUGCAUCUUUUUCACAAAAGUGGAGGCAAUAGCAGAGAAUAUAGAACUUGAUAUUUAAAAUAUGAACAGUAGUAACAUUCACAGGGCCUCUUUCUACAACCACACAGAGCUGUUUCCAAGCAGGAACGUUUCUGAAGUCCCUUACUGCAUACUUUCAUCCUCUAUGGAGCAGUGGUAGUGUAAGCCUUAUUGUUAAAUGGUCACUAAUUGGUAAUACUCAACUUUAAAAAA